rnacentral:piRNA from 1 species
UGUCUGACUUCACUUCUAUGAUAGCUGAGC